GGUACAAUUGCUUGGUCUGAUGAUAAAUUAACUUUAUAAGACUCUGGCAAAUUAUUUUCCAGAGUAGCUGUUUCAUUUUACAUUUUCAUCAGCAAU
rnacentral:pre_miRNA from 1 species